UUUUGCCUACGGGACGCAGCAGUGAGGAAUAUUGGUCAAUGGGAGAGAUCCUGAACCAGCCAAGCCGCGUGAGGGAAGACGGCCCUAUGGGUUGUAAACCUCUUUUGUCGGAGAACAAAACCCGGGACGUGUCCCGGACUGCGUGUAUCCGAAGAAAAAGCAUCGGCUAACUCCGUGCCAGCAGCCGCGGUAAUACGGAGGAUGCGAGCGUUAUCCGGAUUUACUGGGUGUAAAGGGAGCGUAGACGGUGCGUCAAGUCUGAAGUGAAAGCCCGGGGCUUAACCCCGGGACUGCUUUGGAAACUG
rnacentral:rRNA from 1 species